rnacentral:rRNA from 1 species
AGAGUUUGAUCCUGGCUCAGAGCGAACGUUAGCGGCAGGCUUAACACAUGCAAGUCGAGCGACAAAGGGGCUUCGGCCCUGAGUAGAGCGGCGGACGGGUGCGUAACACGUGGAUAAUCUGCCUCGUGGCGGGGGAUAACAGUCCGAAAGGACUGCUAAUACCGCAUGUCAGGUCGGAAACCCCGGUUUCUGACGAAAAAAGAGGGCGCCCGCAAGGGGCUCUCACCACGAGAUGAGUCCGCGGCCCAUCAGCUAGUUGGCGGUGUAAUAGACCACCAAGGCUAAGACGGGUAGCUGGUCUGAGAGGAUGACCAGCCACACUGGGACUGAGACACGGCCCAGACUCCUACGGGAGGCAGCAGUGGGGAAUAUUGGACAAUGGGCGAAAGCCUGAUCCAGCCAUGCCGCGUGAGUGAUGAAGGUCUUCGGAUCGUAAAGCUCUGUGGGAAGGGACGAAAAAGGCCUAACCUAAUACGUUAGGUCUUGACGGUACCUUCUUAGCAAGCACCGGCUAACUCCGUG